rnacentral:rRNA from 1 species
ACGGGUGAGUAACACGUAUCCAACCUGCCGUCUACUCUUGGUCAGCCUUCUGAAAGGAAGAUUAAUCCAAGAUGGCAUCAUGAGUCCACAUGUUCACAUGAUUAAAGGUAUUCCGGUAGACGAUGGGGAUGCGUUCCAUUAGAUAGUAGGCGGGGUAACGGCCCACCUAGUCUUCGAUGGAUAGGGGUUCUGAGAGGAAGGUCCCCCACAUUGGAACUGAGACACGGUCCAA